rnacentral:rRNA from 1 species
GAUGAACGCUGGCGGCGUGCCUAAUACAUGCAAGUCGAGCGAACAGACGAGGAGCUUGCUCCUCUGACGUUAGCGGCGGACGGGGGAGUAACACGUGGAUAACCUACCUAUAAGACUGGGAUAACUUCGGGAAACCGGAGCUAAUACCGGAUAAUAUAUUGAACCGCAUGGUUCAAUAGUUAAAGACGGUUUUGCUGUCACUUAUAGAUGGAUCCGCGCCGCAUUAGCUAGUUGGUAAGGUAACGGCUUACCAAGGCAACGAUGCGUAGCCGACCUGAGAGGGUGAUCGGCCACACUGGAACUGAGACACGGUCCAGACUCCUACGGGAGGCAGCAGUAGGGAAUCUUCCGCAAUGGGCGAAAGCCUGACGGAGCAACGCCGCGUGAGUGAUGAAGGUCUUCGGAUCGUAAAACUCUGUUAUUAGGGAAGAACAAAUGUGUAAGUAACUAUGCACGUCUUGACGGUACCUAAUCAGAAAGCCACGGCUAACUACGUG